GCAGAGGCAGCAUCUAACUGCAGUGCCAGCAGUUCCAGCCCAUUGCUUUACUUUUUGCUGCACCAAUACAGUCAUAUGCUGAAGAGAAAACCUGCAGAAAAUAGAAGGCAAAGAUGGAUCCAAAGUAUCCAAACAGGAGGCCACGAGACGGUCUGCCAGGUCGUCAGCAAACCUGCUCCACCAAAACCUGAAACUAAAUCAAGAAAAGCACCUGCUAAGAAAGAACCUGGAACAAAGAUUAGCAGAGGUACAGGGGGAAAAAAAGCAGGAAACUGGAAAGGAAUUGCAAUUCCUUUCCAGUAAUUGCAACUACUGCACCAUCUGGAAAUGGUGAAACUAAAACUGAAGAGGCAUAGAAAAACUGAAUCUGCACAUAUUGAGAGAGAAUGAAUUAUCAUAAAAAUUUGGGUUGAUUUUAUGCACCUCUUGAGA
rnacentral:lncRNA from 1 species